rnacentral:rRNA from 1 species
CAUGCAGUCGAGCGAGAAGUGGAGCAAUCCAUGAGUAAAGCGGCGUACGGGUGAGUAACACGUGGAUAAUCUACCCUCUAGUGGGGAAUAACCCUGGGAAACCGGGGCUAAUACCGCAUAAGCACGAGAGUGGAAAGCAGCAAUGCGCUGGAGGAGGAGUCCGCGGCCGAUUAGCUAGUUGGCAGGGUAAAAGCCUACCAAGGCAAAGAUCGGUAGCCGGCCUGAGAGGGCACACGGCCACACUGGCACUGAAACACGGGCCAGACUCCUACGGGAGGCAGCAGUGGGGAAUCUUGCACAAUGGGGGAAACCCUGAUGCAGCGACGCCGCGUGAGCGAUGAAGCCCUUCGGGGUGUAAAGCUCUUUCGGCAGGGAAGAUGAUGACGGUACCUGCAGAAGCAGCUGCGGCUAACUACGUGCCAGCAGCCGCGGUAAUACGUAGGCAGCAAGCGUUGUUCGGAGUUACUGGGCGUAAAGGGUGUGUAGGCGGUUGUUUAAGUUUGGUGUGAAAUCUCCCGGCUCAACUGGGAGGGUGCGCCGAAUACUGAAUGACUAGAGUGUGGGAGAGGUGAGUGGAAUUCCUGGUGUAGCGGUGAAAUGCGUAGAUAUCAGGAGGAACACCGGUGGUGUAGACGGCUCACUGGACCAUAACUGACGCUGAGACACGAAAGCGUGGGUAGCAAACAGGAUUAGAUACCCUGGUAGUCCACGCCCUAAACGAUGCAUAUUUGGUGUGGGCAGUUCAUUCUGGCCGUGCCGGA